GACGAACGCUGGCGGCGUGCUUAACACAUGCAAGUCGAACGGAAAGGCCUGCUUUCCCUUGUGGAUUGCGGGUACUCGAGUGGCGAACGGGUGAGUAACACGUGAGUGAUCUGCCCCCAACUUGGGUAUAAGCCUGGGAAACUGGGUCUAAUUCCCGAUAGGACUGCAGGGUGGUGCCUGUGUUGGAAAACGAUUUUCUAGUGGUUGGGGAUGAGCUCGCGGCCUAUCAGCUUGUUGGUGGGGUAAUGGCCUACCAAGGCGGCGACGGGGAGCCGGCCUGAGAUGGUGGACGGCCAGAUUGGGACUGGGAUACGGCCCAGACUCCGACGGGGGGCAGCAGUGGGGAAUAUUGCACAAUGGGCGGAAGCCUGAUGCAGCGACGCCGCGUGGGGGAUGACGGGCUUCGGGUUGUAAACUCCUUUCGACCGCGAGGAAGCAACCUGGUUGGCAGGGUGGUGACGGUAGUGGUAGAAGAAGCACCGGCUAACUACGUG
rnacentral:rRNA from 1 species